CCCCAGUGCCUAGGAGAGAGCCUGGCACAGAAUAGAUGCUUGGAAAAUCUGUUAAAUGUUGAAUGACUUAACUGUAGCUGGGAUAUACAAAAUUAAGCUGUACGUGUCCUUAGACCAACUCACAACUGCACUAAACCAGCUUUCUUACCUGUCUCCUGUGUCAUGGACAGUGUCACCAUCCACCCCAGAAAACUGGGAGUCAUCCUGGAUUCCUCCUGUACUUUUAGCCCCUCUGGCGGCAGCAAGUUGAGGGGAACUCAGAGGACUUCAAAAGCCAUGGUUUUCAUGUGGACCUAAGUUUUCAACCCCUUUGGGAAGUACCAAGGAAGGUGAUCGCUGGAUUGUAUG
rnacentral:lncRNA from 1 species